rnacentral:rRNA from 1 species
AACGAACGCUGGCGGCAUGCCUAACACAUGCAAGUCGAACGAGACCUGCGGGUUUGGUGGCGCACGGGGGCGCAACGGGGGGGGACCUGCCCUUAGGUCUGGAAUAACUCCCCGAAAGGGGUGCUAAUACCGGAGAAUGUCCUCGGAACGAAGAUUUAUCGCCAUUGGAUGGGCCUGGGUUGGAUUAGCUAGUUGGUAGGGUAAAAGCCAACCGAGGCGACGAUCCAUAGCUGGGUUGAAAGGAGGAUAAGCCGCACUGGUACUGAGGCACGGCCAAGAAUCCUACGGGAGGCAGCGGUGGCGUGUAUUAGACAGUCGGCGUGAGCCUGGUCCAGCUUUGCCGCGUAAGUGAUUAAGGCCUUAGGGUUGUAACGCUCUUUUACCCGGGAUGAUAAUGACAGUACCGGAAGAAUAAGCUCCGGCUAACUCCGUG